GCAAACUUGGUCAUUUAGAGGAAGUAAAAGUCGUAACAAGGUUUCCGUAGGUGAACCUGCGGAAGGAUCAUUAUCGAGUAUUAGGACCUCCAAGUCCUUACUCCCACCCCAUGUUGACCUAUUCCGUUGCUUUGGUAGACCGGUGGAGUAAAGCUCCGCCGCUGGCUCAAGAGGCUAGAAAGCGUCUACCAGAGUAUUUUAAAAACUCUGGUUAACGUGGCAUCCGAGUUUGUAGAAAUUGAAUAGAAAAAACUUUUAACAACGGAUCUCUUGGUUCUGGCAUCGAUGAAGAACGCAGC
rnacentral:misc_RNA from 1 species